AUUGAACGCUGGCGGCAUGCUUUACACAUGCAAGUCGAACGGUAACAGGCCGCAAGGUGCUGACGAGUGGCGAACGGGUGAGUAAUGCACCGGAACGUGCCCAGUCGUGGGGGAUAACGCAGCGAAAGCUGCGCUAAUACCGCAUACGAUCUGUGGAUGAAAGCGGGGGACCGAAAGGCCUCGCGCGAUUGGAGCGGCCGAUGUCAGAUUAGGUAGUUGGUGGGGUAAAGGCCCACAAAGCCAACGAUCUGUAGCUGGUCUGAGAGGACGACCAGCCACACUGGGACUGAGACACGGCCCAGACUCCUACGGGAGGCAGCAGUGGGGAAUUUUGGACAAUGGGCGCAAGCCUGAUCCAGCAAUGCCGCGUGCAGGAGGAAGGCCUUCGGGUUGUAAACUGCUUUUGUACGGAACGAAACGGCUCUGGUUAAUACCUGGGGCUAAUGACGGUACCGUAAGAAUAAGCACCGGCUAACUACGUGCCAGCAGCCGCAGUAACAC
rnacentral:rRNA from 1 species